rnacentral:tRNA from 1 species
AGCAGUGUGGCUUAGUGGAAAGAGCAUGGGCUUGGGAGUCAUUGUUCAUGGGUUCUAAUCACAUCCCUGCUA